GUCCAAGUUAUGGAAGAUCUCGCUCUCGAAGCCGUAGUCGUAGCAGAAGCCGUAGCAGAAGCAACAGCAGGAGUCGCAGUUACUCCCCAAGGAGAAGCAGAGGAUCACCACGCUAUUCUCCCCGUCAUAGCAGAUCUCGCUCGCGUACAUAAGAUGAUUGGUGACGCUUUUUGUAGAACCCAUGUUGUAUACAGUUUUCCUUUACUCAGUACAAUCUUCAUUUUUUAAUUCAAACUGUUUUGUUCAGAACGGGCUAAAGUGUUGAAUCUGCAUUCUUGUGUAAUAUCCCCUUGCUCCUAACACCUACAUUCCCCUCAUGUCUUUGGUAAAUUGUAUUUUAAGUGAUGUCAUAGACAGGACUGUUUAAAUUUAGUUAAUUUCCAUGCUCUUCAGACUGUGAUAUUGUGUAAAUGUCUAUUCUGCUCUGGUUUGUGUGAAAUGGGAUGUUGGGGGGUGUUUGUGGUUAUCUUACUUGGGGAAGUUCUUAUGUUUAUCUUGCUUUUCAUGUGUCUUUCUGUAGACAUAUCUGAAGAGAUGGAUUAAGAAUGCUUUGGAUUAAGGAUUGUGGAGCACAUUUCAAUCAUUUUAGGAUUGUCAAAAGGAGGAUUGAGGAGGAUCAGAUCAAUAAUGGAGGCAAUGGUUUGGAUUGGAGAGGGCUCACUGGAUCCCAAUCCUUGGAGCUGGAUCAUUGGAUUCAAAUCAUAAUGUGGAUAGGAUAGGGAGGAUGAAUUUCCAGGAGUCAUGGAGCGGGAUCAGAUUACCAGGAACAUAGGAGUGGAUUCCUUCCUGCCCCAACCAAACCGCAUUCGUGUGGAUUUUUUUUCAUUCAACUUAAUUGGCUAUUCCAAAGAGUUUUUUUUUUCCUAUUUUUGACGAUUGGAGCCCUUAAGAUGCACGAUGGAAUUGUGUUUUGCAUUUUUUGGUAAAAGGAGCAAAGCGAGGACCUGGAGAUAUACGCUGGAGCAAUCUCCUUGGAAGGAUUCAGCACGAGUAGAUGGUAAACAUUUAAAGGGGAAAAGGGGGGGUUUGUUUAAAAUAGUAAAUCAGUAAGUCACUUCUAAAUUUAAAGAAAACAAAAUUGGAGUUGAAGAAUAAGUAGGUUUUCAAUUGGCUAUUGCCAUUUUUCUUUGAAAAAUAAACAUUUUUUAAAAAACGAUGCAUGGUUGUCCUUUUUCCUCUUCAUGUAAAAUUUUGCUGAGUAACUAGUGUAUCAGUUAUUUCUUUAAAUUGAUAAGAUUCUGACUUGUCUAUGUGUUAGUAAAUUAAAGAUUCUAAUAAAUGAUAAUAACUGUCUCUUACUGUUGUGGAAGUCUUAAGGGGAUAAUAAACUGAGUGUGAGGCAGUCAUGUAUGUAGUACAAUUAUGUAGGGGUAAUAGUCUGGAAAUUAAGCUUUCAUAUUUUGCUAAAGUGUGAUUAAGAACUUACAGGUGCUGUUUAUUUUGGUAAAUACUUUAGACAAAUAGAAUUUUGUACAAAGUUGAUUGAUAGCUAGUGAGUUUUGAUAUUAGCUUAGAGGUAACCAUUGAGAUCCUUGGUGAAAUUCAAAUUAUGUAUUAACAUUAGCAGGGGAAUUAGAAUGUAGUACAAAUAUUUUUGAAUUGUGGACAGUAUGCUGGCAGAUUAACUGCUUAUUGGGUGAAUCAACGUCUUGUAAAUCUUUUCAGCCAUAAAGAGUAUUCUGUCCCCAAACUUAGUGUUCUGUAUUAAAUCAGCAAUUCUAUCUUAAGUCUACUGUUGUAUCUGAUAGCCCCUGUCAUCUUGCUUAGAUUGGAGUAUGGAAAUUUUAUUUAAAAUCCCAAGUUUUUUAUUUCCUUCUGGUUAAAAUGAACAAGCCACUUGUCAGUAUCCCAGUAGAAAUAGCUAGAUCUUUAACCUUUUUUCCCUUGUGUUGCAGGCUGAAUUUCAGGUUAUUCAAAUACAAGAUAACAUAUAGGGGAGACCAAGAGUCUUGGUAGUAAAAGAAGUGGGCUUUAAGAAAUCUGCAUGAGGUCACUCAACCUAUAUGUCUCAGUGAACUUUUAAAGGCUUUCCUGGAAGACGUGCAAAACUAGGGUUUCAGUUUAGUUAAAGCAAUGUAGACUCAUUAAAGUUAAAGUAGCUAUAGUUACAGAAUUCAAAUAACCAAGGGGCAGAGAUUUGCUUUUGAAAAGAAUCCUAAGGAAUUAGCAUAACUAAACAUGGCAUGAUUAAAAUUUUAAAUGUGAAUAUAAAGUUUUUAAAUAAAUUGAGGAAAAUUCUCAAAUGGUGGGUUGUGUUUUCCCUCCAGAUGGCCUUGCUCUGGUCCAGACUUUCCUAGAAUUCAGGAUAUAGCCCAGGCUGGGCUCAAAGCAAUCUUAUCUCCCACGCUCUGGGAUUAUGGAUGUGAACCACCAUGCCCAAUUUACUAAAAUAAUUUUGAAAGGUGAAUGUGAGCUAAAUAUAAACAAGUGUGGGCUGUUUUGAAUGCUUUGGAACCAGGACCAAAACUGGUCUCUUUUCAAGGUUAUCUGUUUUUAGUAGUUCAGCCCUAUAUUAGAAAUGAGAAAAGUAUUCUUUGCCAUACAGGUUUGGGUUUGAACACUAGAGAGCAGUGCUUGUGAAAAAUAAAUUAAGUUUUAAGUCUAUAGGCCUAUACCCAUACUAACAAUUUAUACCAUUUGGAAAUAAAAAUACUACUUUGAUUUCCACCCCCCCCCCCUUCUCUGUUCCCUUAGGAUAUUGUAGGGUCUCUAUGAUUAGUUUUUCUAACCAAGAAAGCACUUAAAUCUCUUUAAGCAAGUACUUUGCAUAACAUCUGAUUGAAUAACCCAACUUGCUGUUCAGCUCAUCCUACCGGAGACAAAGGCUGACCAGUUCUCUGGUGGUUACUGCUACUGAUCCAUCCAAACUGCUGGACUUCUCGUUUAUACCCAAGGCCUCCAGGCAGUAUCUAAUGAGGAGUCAACACUAAAAGGAACCAGACCAUCAUUUCCCAGCCCCUUUAUUCUGGUGACUGAUGGACAAGUGCGAGAGGAAUGUAUUUGCUUGUUUAAUGGGUGGGAAAACGAUAGAUCAAGUUGCUGUUCCUCUUCAGUUUCUAUUCUCAAGUUCUGCAACUGUGCUACUUGGAUCAUAUAUAUUGGGGGAAGUUGAAGAUGUGUCUUUCAUUAGAAGUGUCUGGAGGGGAUAAGAGUCAGUUUGAAAUAUGUUGAAGUCCUGAAAUAAUGUGCCCAUCUGAGGAAUUUUUAAAAACAAGUUUAUAAAAAUACCAUGGAUGGAGCCUGCCCCCUCAUUUCCUCACCACAGAUUUCUUGGACUGGAGACACGUGUUUAAUAAUAGCUUGUCUCUGAUAUUCACAGUAGCUACCUCUAUAUGAGGAAAGGAUAGAAAACAUUCAAGACUCAUUCGGGCUUAUGAUCUACAGAGUCCAACCAGUAGCAGUGGCUGACUCCUGCACAGAAGACGGGACUGCAAACGGGCCGGGGCCACCUCGGUGACAUCUGACGCUGGCCAACCAGAAGUCUGACUUUUCCGGGGAAGGGGGGGGAAAUGUACUAAAAGACUA